GAGUUUGAUUCUGGCUCAGGAUGAACGCUAGCGAUAGGCUUAACACAUGCAAGUCGAGGGGCAGCAUAGAGUCAGCUUGCUGAUUUGGAUGGCGACCGGCGGAUGGGUGCGUAACGCGUAUGCAACUUACCUGUCAGAGGGGGAUAACCCGGAGAAAUUCGGACUAAUACCGCAUAUACUUGAGAUACUGCAUGGUGUUUCAAGGAAAUAUUUAUAGCUGACAGAUAGGCAUGCGUUCCAUUAGCUAGUAGGUGAGGUAACGGCUCACCUAGGCGACGAUGGAUAGGGGAACUGAGAGGUUAAACCCCCACACUGGUACUGAGACACGGACCAGACUCCUACGGGAGGCAGCAGUGAGGAAUAUUGGUCAAUGGGCGAGAGCCUGAACCAGCCAAUUCGCGUGAAGGAUGACUGCCCUAUGGGUUGUAAACUUCUUUAGUAGGGGAUUAAAGUUUGCCUUGCGAGGCAA
rnacentral:rRNA from 1 species